rnacentral:lncRNA from 1 species
UUUCCCAGUUUUUAACUUGGGGAUGGUGCUUUCAUUACUUUCUUUUGUUACUUGCAUUAAGCCUUUCAACAACCCUGUCUGGUUGGGCUUUUUAUCCCUAUUUUAGAGGAAAUAAGUUUCCAGAAAGUGAUUGGCCCGGGGUCAGUUAGCCAGCAAUCACCCCAAUCUGUUCAACAAGGCCCAGGGUGAGGCCAGGAGUGUGACUUGUCUGGGGCUGAGCCAGGAGCUGGCUUCCAGCUGGCACCAUGGGCUCCUGUGGCCAGGUACUUGACAGGGCAGGGCAGGGGGUUAAACGGGUCUGAAACAUGUGUCCACAAAAAAUCUCCAAAUAUGUACAGGCCACCAUCUACCACAAAGGAGGGAUUUGAGAAUGUAGAGGAGAAGGACCUAAUAUUCAUUGAGCAUCCCUGUAAGCCAGGAGCUGGGCUUUGCGUGCAUUGCUUUAGUUUAAGUCCAAAAUAACAACAACGGUUUGACGAAGAUGUCAUUAAUCCCCAUCUGACUGUGGCAAGGUGAAAGGACUUCCUAGCCUCGCACAGCCAGGUCAGGUGGAGUCUCUUCUUUCUGACAUUUGCUCAAUACACCUAGGCCUUCCUCUGGCCUGGGAUGUGGAGCUUUCAUCCGCAAACUUGUCAAUCACUAGCGUUUGGGAAAAAUGAUCCAAACAAGAAAACCCUCACAAGUCUCACCAGGGUCAUUUUGUACAAAGUGAAACUCGGGAAAUUAAGAUGUCAUCGCACAGUCUUGCUGUUUCCACAGGCAAUGAUUGUAGCUACAAAUUUGUCCCAAAAUGCAGGCAAAUGGGCUUGGAGCAGUGAGGUCAUGAAGCUUAUUUACUGCUGCCAUGAUGAUAAUUUUAAUUUGCUAUUAAGAAAAUGAAGGGCUAGCAAGCGUUCAGGAUACAGAUGAUAUAGCAGUUUAGUUUUGGCUGUUCAGAGACUGGGAUGCAGGAACCUGAAAGAGAACCAGUGUGAGGUGGGAAAAGGAGAAUAGGCCUUACCAUCAAACUAGGAUUUAAUCUCUGCUCCACAAUUUCCUGGCUGUGUUACCUUCAGUACACGACGCCACCUCUCUGAGCCUCAGUCUCCUUAUCUGCAUCUCCUUAUCUGAAUCAUAACACCUACCUACUAGGUACAUUGGGUGGACUUCCAAAGAUGCUGGAUGUAAAGCUCCCAUAAAUGUUGGAUAUUAUUACUGUCAUUAUUAUUUAAAUAUACACUUAUGGAGUCACCAACAGAGCCAACCAUUUGACUUCCUGCCACUAAAAUAGCCAGAGGCCUGGCUGCACUGCUUAAUUUCAUCAAGAUGGUCUGGUGAGUCACAGCCUUAAUUAACUUUCCCAUGGUUUGAUCAGAGCAGAAAUCAGACUCUUGCAUUUCACCCACUCUUCCUGGCUCCAAAAAAGAUGGACGUGCACAUCCUUAUCCACCAUUCUGACUGUACAAAGACAAGAAAAUUAUCCAGUAGACACAGGAGUGCACGCACAGCCAGCCUGCAAGGCCACAGAGACAUCGCCACAGAGCAUUAGAGCAAGAGCCUGGAACCUAAUGAAAUUAUCUUCCCUCAGCCGAUCUGCCUGCCGCAGCUGCAAAUUGGGUCCCCUGUUUGUGUGCUUAUUCAACUGUGACCCCGUAGCCCUGGCAGGAUGAAUGGGGCCUCACAACCGAGGGUGGGGCGUCAGCCCAGGGGUGUCUUCCUUUAUGCAAAGCUCUUCUUUGAGGGGCUAUGGACAAACCACAUGGCUGGAGGUGAGCUUCAGAUCUGGGCUGCUUCCUGGACACAGAAAAUAAAGCAGGACAGGAGAUGCAGAGAGCAUGGAAUGCUCUUCACUACAGGCUCCGUGGAAGGAACUCGCAUCAGGCCAGCUGAGAAAGCCAGUUUGACAUUCACCUGUGGCAGACCUGGGUUUUGACUGAACCGCUUGCUCCUUGAGGCCCGAGGCCCUGAGGACUCAUCUCUAUAGCCCCUGCAUCUGGCCAGGACUUGGUUGCAAAAUGACUUCUGGCAACUGACAGGCUCCACGUUGAGUGUUCACACUGUGCCCAAUUCUGCCCUGAGCACUUUGCUUGGUUUCUCCACAACAAUAUUGUGAUCAGUAUAAUUACUGUUAUUCCCAUUUUAUAGAUGAGAAAAAUAGUAAUGGAGGAAAUGGAAGGAAAAAGGAUGGCCAUAAGUUGGAGGCAGGUGAAAGACCCAAAUUCAUGGAAGAGAAGUGAGUCACACAGGGAGCCAGUGGCAGAGCCACACCCCACAGAGCAAUCAACAUGCUCUACUCUGCAGACCUGCAACAGGGAGGGAAGCCAGACUCUGAUGCAAGAAGGAAAGACCAUGUGCUGGCUCAGUGUGUGCAGCCUGGACUGAGCUACUGAACUCUAAAUCCAAGGAUGACUAAUAGGCAGAAUGACAUUAAUACCAGACCUGAUGAAGACAGCACAAAAAGUAAAUCUCAACACAACCUCACAAUAUUAAUAAAGCAAAAAUUUUAAAUACA